GCUGGCCACAGUGGUGCAUGCCUGUAAUCUCAGCAAUGGGGAGGCUGAGGCAGGAGGAUAACAAGUUCUAGGCCAGCCUCAGCAAUUUAGUGAGAACCUGUCUCAU
rnacentral:sRNA from 1 species